GCCCGGCUAGCUCAAUCGGUAGAGCGUGAGACGGUGUAUCUUAAGGUUGUGGGUUUGACCCCCACGUCGGGCU